GGGCCCGCACAAGCGGUGGAGCAUGUGGUUCAAUUCGACGCAACGCGAAGAACCUUACCUGGGCUCGAAAUGCAGGAGACCGGGGUGGAAACAUCCCUUCCCCUUAAAAGGCUGCUGCAUAGGUGCUGCAUGGCUGUCGUCAGCUCGUGUCGUGAGAUGUUGGGUUAAGUCCCGCAACGAGCGCAACCCUUAUCCCUAGUUGCCAUCGGGUCAAGCCGGGCACUCUAGUGAAACUGCCUCGGAUAACGAGGAGGAAGGUGGGGAUGACGUCAAGUCCUCAUGGCCUUUAUGUCCAGGGCUACACACGUGCUACAAUGGUCGGUACAAACCGUCGCAAACCCGUGAGGGGGAGCUAAUCGGAAAAAGCCGGCCUCAGUUCGGAUUGGAGUCUGCAACUCGACUCCAUGAAGCUGGAAUCGCUAGUAAUCGCGGAUCAGAACGCCGCGGUGAAUACGUUCCCGGGCCUU
rnacentral:rRNA from 1 species